rnacentral:sRNA from 1 species
AAGCCUGGCACACCAGGAUGGACGCACCUAUAACUCACAGAGACAUUGGCAGCUCAUACGAGACCUGUACAAGUUCAAGCCAGCCCAGGUCCCAGCAGUAAGAGAGGGUGGAACCCAGCUCCUAGGGAAUGUCUGAAGCCUUUUGAAACCUCAGAGCCCUACCCUAGUAAUCCUCCAAUAAGGCCAACCUCCAGCCUCUGCUGCUGCCACCAUGCCUUCCUUGCUGAAAUUGUAAGCCUAGCAUUAAACGCCAUUCCAUAUCAUCUCAGUUAACCCUAUCUAGAAACUCACUAGAUAAAAAUACCAAUAACCCAGACAACUUACAAACACACAAAAGAAGUUUGAGAAGUUACAGUUUCAGAGGGUCAGAGUCCAUGACCUCAGGAAAGCCAAGAGCUCUUACCUUGAUCCACAAGCAGCAGAGAGCACACUGGGAAUGACAAAGCCUUUUGAAACUUCCAAGCCCACCCCUAGUAACAGAUCUCUUGCAAGAAGGCCACACAUCCUAAUUGUUCCCAAACAGUUCCACCAGCUGGGGACCCCAAGGGGCCAUUGUCAUUCAAACCACCACGUGAGGUCCUGAGAAUGAACUUGUUAGAUUAUGCAUUCGGAGGACUGAUAAUUCUACAAUGGCCAUUUGUAGGCUGGAGAACUGAGGAAACAGUAGAUAUUUUCAGUUCAAGAAACUGAAGGCUCAGGAUAUGAGGGACCAGUGAUGCAGCCUCCAUGAGAGUCGCUAGUACAAGUUUGCAUCACUCAAAGGCUGAUGAAGCAAGAAUUUGAUGCUCAAAUUGCAAACACUGGCAGAAGAAAACAUAUUUGCCCGGGGGAGCCUGGGAGCUGCUUCUUUCUUUAGUUUUCUGUUUCAUCCGAGUGCAAUCUGCCACUGCCCUGAUUUAAGGAUGUGCUUACAUGCCUCCAUUUACUGACCCACAGCUGUCUCUGGAAACACCCCCACAGUCACAGAGGAGACAGCAAUUGAUUACACUCGAGGCAUCUUUCAAUGGUUUGGCGAGCCAAAAACCAAGAUUCACCAUCACACCAUGGUUAGACAUUUAAAAACAAGCUCAUCGUUUCUCUGGUGGUGAUGAAGAUGGCUAUAUACCUAUGGUAGGACAGCAUCUUCUCACUUGGUUGCCCAAGCUAGCCUUGAAUUCGCUAUCCUCCCUUCUGAACUGUCAAAGUAACUGGUCUUCCAGUCAUGUGACAUAUGGACACAGAAUAACCACAUUUACCUAUAUCCUUUCCUUUUGGAGAUUGUGCAGGUCCACCUAUCCAUCCAGCCUACCAGUUAUCCAUCCAGCAGGUCAUCCUGACCAGUUUUUGUAGGCAAUAGAUAACAGUGAGUUAAAGUCUUGUGGGACUUCUAUGUGGGUGGGAGAAGCAGAAAUAGGUAAUAAAAUAGCGGUCAGGGGUGCUACAGAGGAGAAAAAAGGAACGGAAGACCGUGAGGUGAGCAGAGGAACCUGAAACGGUGGUGAAAGGAGGGCAGUUGAGCCCCGAGAGGAAAGGAUGAAGAAGUGUGAGGACUGAGCGUCUGUCUGCCAGAAAAGCAAAUGCAACGGACCCGAGGCCAGAGGUUGACCAAGAGACUGAAGCCACUGGAGAAUGCUAAAAAGAUAGCUAUGGAUAUUCCAUUCUGGAAUUGUGUGGCGAAAACCGCGCAAGUGUAGAGCAAGCUUUCCAAGGAAAAAAGCCGGCAGGAGGGAACCCAAGGCAACGGAUUCAUUAAAACUCCACACCAACGUUGGCACCAAGCGUCAAAAGCUACGUCCCAGGUGGACUGCUCCAGCAAGGAGUCUGUUCUCCCGCAACUGCUUUCUACUCAUAGACCUUACACAGAGGAGAAGCCUUUUGCAUCUUGUAAUUUAAUGAGCUGCCUGGGAGGGAUGGCUCCUCCCCCCAGGCGUGAAUGAAAAGGUACAGGAGGCCAUUUAGGAUUAAACAGAAAGUUGUUGCAAUACAGAAUUGUUGUGGUGAGACAGAAUCUUGUGGUUCGGUUGAGUGGGGUUGAAGGCGAUAAAAAGCUCCAAUUGUCUCUAGAAGGCUGAGGGCAAGACCUUCUGAUGCAGGAUAUGGAAGCAGAGAGUUAAAAAGGCAACGUCACUGUAGUACUACGUACUGAUAUUAGGACAGACCAAAACACAGCAGCGUUUCCAUUUCCGCUUCCGUUUCCGUUUCUGCUUCCGUUUCCGUUUCUGCUUCCGCUUCCGCUUCCAUCUCUUCCAGUGUGUGAGGAGACAUUGUUCUGAGGGAAGGUGCUGUUGUCUCAGCUGGCUACAAGCUUGAAAUGACUCAACGUGAUUCCCAGUCUAACUUCCGCGAUGAUUUCACCAAAUUCUUACUCUUCACUAAGCACAUAAAAUAACUUCAUGUAAGUGAUAUUUAACAUCUUUGAAAUCUGUCUGUCAUCUACAACGGCUGCUUUCUUGAAGAAUCCCAU